rnacentral:rRNA from 1 species
CUUUACUGUAACUUGAGAUUGAAAUUGGACUUUACUUGCGCAGUAUAGGUGGGAGGCGUUGAGAAUUUUCUUGCGGGAAGAUUGGAGCCAUCAGUGAGAUACCACUCUUGUAAUGUUAGAUUUCUAACUUUGGAUCAUGAUCUGGUCAAAGGACAGUUUCAGGCGGGCAGUUUGACUGGGGCGGUCGCCUCCCAAACGGUAACGGAGGCGUACAAAGGUUUCCUCUGAACGGGUAGAAAUCGUAUCUAGAGUGUAAAGGCAUAAGGAAGCUUGACUGUGAGACCUACAAGUCGAGCAGGGACGAAAGUCGGUCUUAGUGAUCUGACGGUGCUGAGUGGAAAGGCCGUCACUCAACGGAUAAAAGUUA